AGUUUGAUCCUGGCUCAGGAUCAACGCUGGCGGCGCGCUUAACACAUGCAAGUCAAACGAGAAAGUGGAGCAAUCCAUGAGUAAAGUGGCGUACGGGUGAGUAACACGUGGGUAAUCUGCCUUCGGGGGGGGAAUAACUCUGGGAAACCGGAGCUAAUACCGCAUACCCCCGCGGGGGGAAAGGUGAAAAUCGCCGGAAGAGGACCCCGCGGCUGAUUAGCUAGCUGGUGAGGUAAAGGCUCACCAGGGCAGAGAUCGGUAGCCGGCCUGAGAGGGCACACGGCCACACUGGCACUGAAACACGGGCCACACUCCUACGGGAGGCAGCAGUGGGGAAUCUUGCACGAUGGGGGAAACCCUGAUGCACCCACGCCGCGUGAGUGAUGACCCCCUUCGGGGUGUAAAGCUCUUUCCGCCCGGACGAUAAUGACGGUACGGAAAAAAGAAGCUGCGGCUAACUACGUGCCAGCGGCCGCGGUAAUACGUAGGCAGCGAGCGUUGUUCGGAGUUACUGGGCGUAAAGCGUGCGUAGGCGGUGGUCCAAGUCUGGUGUGAAAUCUCCCGGCUUAACCGGGAGGGUGCGCCGGAAACUGGGCCGCUGGAGUGCCAGAGAGGCAAGCGUAACUCCUGGUGUAGCGGUGAAAUGCAUAUAUAUCAGGAGGAACACCCGUGGUGUAGACUGCUUGCUGGACGGCAACUGACGCUGAGGCACGAGAGCGUGGGGAGCAAACAUGAU
rnacentral:rRNA from 1 species